rnacentral:rRNA from 1 species
UAAUUAUGUGCCAGCAGCCGCGGUAAUACAUAAGGGGCGAGCGUUAUCCGGAAUUAUUGGGCGUAAAGGGUGCGUAGGCGGUUUAAUAAGUCUAUAGUUUAAUUUCAGUGCUUAACGCUGUUGUGCUAUAGAAACUGUUUUACUAGAGUGAGUUAGAGGCAAGCGGAAUUCCAUGUGUAGCGGUAAAAUGCGUAAAUAUAUGGAGGAACACCAGAGGCGUAGGCGGCUUGCUGGGACUUUACUGACGCUGAGGCACGAAAGCGUGGGGAGCAAACAGGAUUAGAUACCCUGGUAGUCCACACCGUAAACGAUGAGUACUAAGUGUCGGGUAAAACCGGUACUGAAGUUAACACAUUAAGUACUCCGCCUGAGUAGUACGUACGCAAGUAUGAAACUUAAAGGAAUUGACGGGACUCCGCACAAGCGGUGGAUCAUGUUGUUUAAUUCGAAGAUACACGAAAAACCUUACCAGGUCUUGACAUUUUCUUGCGAAGUUAUAGAAAUAUAAUGGAGGUUAUCAGGAAAACAGGUGGUGCAUGGUUGUCGUCAGCUCGUGUCGUGAGAUGUUAGGUUAAGUCCUAAAACGAGCGCAACCCUUGUCGUUAAUUGCCAGCAUGUAAUGAUGGGGACUUUAACGAGACUGCCAAUGAAAAAUUGGAGGAAGGUGGGGAUUACGUCAAAUCAUCAUGCCCCUUAUGAUCUGGGCUACAAACGUGAUACAAUGGUUGAUACAAAGAGUAGCUGAAACGCGAGUUCUUAGCCAAUCUCACAAAAUCAAUCUCAGUUC